rnacentral:rRNA from 1 species
GACGAACGCUGGCGGCGUGCUUAACACAUGCAAGUCGAACGAAGUGGCGAACGGGUGAGUAACGCGUAAUAAACCUGCCCUUCAGAGGGGGACACCAGUUGGAAACGAAUGCUAAUCCCGCAAACUGAAGGCGGUGGUUGCGUCGGAAGAGCUAGUAGGGGGGGUAACGGCCCACCAAGGCGAUGAUCAGUAGCCGGUCUGGGGGGAAGAACGGCCAAAAUGGGACUGAGACACGGCCCAAGAUCCUACGGGAGGCAGCAGUGGGGAAUCUUCCGCAAUGGGCGAAAGUCUGACGGAGCAACGCCGCGGGAGGGAUGACGGCCUUCGGGUUGGAAAGCUCUGUUAAUCGGGACGCGGUACCCGAAUAGAAAGCCACGGCUAACUACGUGCCAGCAGCCGCGGUAAUUC